GGCAAACCAGCUUCAGAAGCCGUGGCUUUGAGACAGGCAACAGCUGAGUUUCCUGACCGGUCAGCAGCUUUCCAAGAUGUUGAACUCAAAAGUGCUGAGCUCCAGGAUACUGCUCCUCUUCUGGUCACGAGCAUCUCCUCGUCCACUCAGCCCAGCCAGCACGCCACACGAGUCCGGCUAGACUGAGCAGCCCUGUUGGCACAGCAGCCUCGGGUUAACCGCCGGCAUAAUGGCCUUUCCACACCAAGCCUCACUAAAGCGUUCCCAGUUCAAACAGAAAGCGAAGCCCUGCCAGUCAUUACUCCUGCGCGAGAUGACAAGCAAGCAUCAAAAGAAAUGGGUUUGGCUCGGGGGCAGCGCAACGCUGUGCACAGUCCGUCGCCAUGGCAACUGCAGUGCCCGUGACAAGCAUUCUCUUCUGCCCGUUUAAUUUUACAUGUGAGGAGAGUGAGACAUGGGAUGGCUAAGUGGCUGCCCCAGUGCUGUGACCUAAUACUUGUCCCCGUGCCAUUGUGCCGUUGUCAUGGCCAGGUUAAAGAAUGGCUCCUACCGAUGGCCUAUCAGUACAUUAAAUGCCACUGGGUUCCCACAGCAUUUUCCACUUUAAUUCUGCAUUUAGAGAGAAAAACACCAUUGACAG